GGUUAAGUUAGAAAGGGCGCACGGUGGAUGCCUUGACACUAGGAGUCGAUGAAGGACGGGACUAACGCCGAUAUGCUUCGGGGAGCUGUAAGUAAGCUUUGAUCCGAAGAUUUCCGAAUGGGGAAACCCACCAUACGUAAUGGUAUGGUAUCCUUACCUGAAUACAUAGGGUAAGGAAGACAGACCCAGGGAACUGAAACAUCUAAGUACCUGGAGGAAGAGAAAGCAAAUGCGAUUUCCUGAGUAGCGGCGAGCGAAACGGAACAUAGCCCAAACCAAGAGGCUUGCCUCUUGGGGUUGUAGGACAUUCUAUACGGAGUUACAAAGGAACGAGGUAGACGAAGCGACCUGGAAAGGUCCGUCGUAGAGGGUAACAACCCCGUAGUCGAAACUUCGUUCUCUCUUGAAUGUAUCCUGAGUACGGCGGAACACGUGAAAUUCCGUCGGAAUCUGGGAGGACCAUCUCCCAAGGCUAAAUACUCCCUAGUGAUCGAUAGUGAACCAGUACCGUGAGGGAAAGGUGAAAAGCACCCCGGAAGGGGAGUGAAAGAGAUCCUGAAACCGUGUGCCUACAAAUAGUCAGAGCCCGUUAACGGGUGAUGGCGUGCCUUUUGUAGAAUGAACCGGCGAGUUACGAUCCCGUGCGAGGUUAAGCUGAAGAGGCGGAGCCGCAGCGAAAGCGAGUCUGAAUAGGGCGUUUAGUACGUGGUCGUAGACCCGAAACCAGGUGAUCUACCCAUGUCCAGGGUGAAGUUCAGGUAACACUGAAUGGAGGCCCGAACCCACGCACGUUGAAAAGUGCGGGGAUGAGGUGUGGGUAGCGGAGAAAUUCCAAUCGAACCUGGAGAUAGCUGGUUCUCCCCGAAAUAGCUUUAGGGCUAGCCUUAAGUGUAAGAGUCUUGGAGGUAGAGCACUGAUUGGACUAGGGGUCCUCAUCGGAUUACCGAAUUCAGUCAAACUCCGAAUGCCAAUGACUUAUCCUUAGGAGUCAGACUGCGAGUGAUAAGAUCCGUAGUCAAAAGGGAAACAGCCCAGACCGCCAGCUAAGGUCCCAAAGUGUGUAUUAAGUGGAAAAGGAUGUGGAGUUGCUUAGACAACUAGGAUGUUGGCUUAGAAGCAGCCACCAUUUAAAGAGUGCGUAAUAGCUCACUAGUCGAGUGACUCUGCGCCGAAAAUGUACCGGGGCUAAAUACACCACCGAAGCUGCGGAUUGAUACCAAUGGUAUCAGUGGUAGGGGAGCGUUCUAAGGACAGUGAAGUCAGACCGGAAGGACUGGUGGAGUGCUUAGAAGUGAGAAUGCCGGUAUGAGUAGCGAAAGACGGGUGAGAAUCCCGUCCACCGAAUGCCUAAGGUUUCCUGAGGAAGGCUCGUCCGCUCAGGGUUAGUCAGGACCUAAGCCGAGGCCGACAGGCGUAGGCGAUGGACAACAGGUUGAUAUUCCUGUACCACCUCUUUAUCGUUUGAGCAAUGGAGGGACGCAGAAGGAUAGAAGAAGCGUGCGAUUGGUUGUGCACGUCCAAGCAGUUAGGCUGAUAAGUAGGCAAAUCCGCUUAUCGUGAAGGCUGAGCUGUGAUGGGGAAGCUCCUUAUGGAGCGAAGUCUUUGAUUCCCCGCUGCCAAGAAAAGCUUCUAGCGAGAUAAAAGGUGCCUGUACCGCAAACCGACACAGGUAGGCGAGGAGAGAAUCCUAAGGUGUGCGAGAGAACUCUGGUUAAGGAACUCGGCAAAAUGACCCCGUAACUUCGGGAGAAGGGGUGCUUUCUUAACGGAAAGCCGCAGUGAAUAGGCCCAAGCGACUGUUUAGCAAAAACACAGCUCUCUGCGAAGCCGUAAGGCGAAGUAUAGGGGGUGACACCUGCCCGGUGCUGGAAGGUUAAGGAGAGGGGUUAGCGUAAGCGAAGCUCUGAACUGAAGCCCCAGUAAACGGCGGCCGUAACUAUAACGGUCCUAAGGUAGCGAAAUUCCUUGUCGGGUAAGUUCCGACCCGCACGAAAGGUGUAACGAUUUGGGCACUGUCUCAACCAGAGACUCGGUGAAAUUAUAGUACCUGUGAAGAUGCAGGUUACCCGCGACAGGACGGAAAGACCCGUGGAGCUUUACUGUAGCCUGAUAUUGAAUUUUGGUACAGUUUGUACAGGAUAGGCGGGAGCCUUUGAAACCGGAGCGCUAGCUUCGGUGGAGGCGCUGGUGGGAUACCGCCCUGACUGUAUUGAAAUUCUAACCUACGGGUCUUAUCGACCCGGGAGACAGUGUCAGGUGGGCAGUUUGACUGGGGCGGUCGCCUCCUAAAGUGUAACGGAGGCGCCCAAAGGUUCCCUCAGAAUGGUUGGAAAUCAUUCGUAGAGUGCAAAGGCAUAAGGGAGCUUGACUGCGAGACCUACAAGUCGAGCAGGGACGAAAGUCGGGCUUAGUGAUCCGGUGGUUCCGCAUGGAAGGGCCAUCGCUCAACGGAUAAAAGCUACCCCGGGGAUAACAGGCUUAUCUCCCCCAAGAGUCCACAUCGACGGGGAGGUUUGGCACCUCGAUGUCGGCUCAUCGCAUCCUGGGGCUGUAGUCGGUCCCAAGGGUUGGGCUGUUCGCCCAUUAAAGCGGUACGCGAGCUGGGUUCAGAACGUCGUGAGACAGUUCGGUCCCUAUCCGUCGUGGGCGUAGGAAAUUUGAGAGGAGCUGUCCUUAGUACGAGAGGACCGGGAUGGACGCACCGCUGGUGUACCAGUUGUUCUGCCAAGGGCAUAGCUGGGUAGCUAUGUGCGGAAGGGAUAAGUGCUGAAAGCAUCUAAGCAUGAAGCCCCCCUCAAGAUGAGAUUUCCCAUAGCGUAAGCUAGUAAGAUCCCUGAAAGAUGAUCAGGUUGAUAGGUUCGAGGUGGAAGCAUGGUGACAUGUGGAGCUGACGAAUACUAAUAGAUCGAGGACUUAACCAU
rnacentral:rRNA from 1 species